UUCAACUGAGUUCAAAACACAAACCAGAAACAUUUCCUUUAUUCAACAUGCUGUCGUUGGACUAUUGGAUGUUUUCUCUGCUUCUUUUCAUUCUCACAGGUGUCAGCCAUGAACAACUCACUGCGGUCAAGACUGAAGAGUCCAGUUUAGAAGGAACCACUGUUACUCUGUCCUACAACUACCCUGAACUGAGAACUGGUGAUGAUUUCUUCUGGUAUCGACAAUAUCCAGGAAAACCUCCAGAGUUCCUGAUCUCUCACUCUGCUUCAGGAGAAGUAGGAACUUUUCAAGACCCUCAACUGAAGAUUAAAGUGGAGCAAAAGCAAAUCACUAUGAACAUCUCCUCUGCUGCAGUGACAGACUCUGCUGUGUACUACUGUGCUCUGAGGCCCACAGUGACAGGAAACACCACAACUCUGAACAAAAACCUUUGGAGCAAAGACAACACAAUACUCCACAAC